rnacentral:rRNA from 1 species
GAUGAACGCUAGCUGGAGGCUUAAUACAUGCAAGUCGAGCGGGAUUGGGUAGCAAUACCCAUGAGAGCGGCGCACGGGUGAGUAACGCGUACACGACCUACCUCUAACAGGGGGAUAGCCCUGGGAAACUGGGAUUAAUACCGCAUAUAAUUCUGACAAAUAAAGAGUUGGAAUGAAAGUUCAGGCGGUUAGAGAUGGGUGUGCGUCUGGUUAGCUAGUUGGUAGGGUAACGGCCUACCAAGGCGAUGAUCAGUAGGGGGCGUGAGAGCGUGGUCCCCCAAACGGGUACUGAGACACGGACCCGACUCCUACGGGAGGCAGCAGUAAGGAAUAUUGGACAAUGGCCGCAAGGCUGAUCCAGCCAUCCAGCGUGCAGGAAGAAGGCCCUAUGGGUUGUAAACUGCUUUUGUCAGGGAAUAAACCUGUGGAUUCACUCCGCAGCUGAAGGUACCUGAAGAAUAAGCACCGGCUAACUCCGUGCCAGCCGCCGCCGUAAAAC